rnacentral:rRNA from 1 species
UACGAAGGGUGCAAGCGUUACUCGGAAUUACUGGGCGUAAAGAGCUCGUAGGUGGUUUGUCGCGUUGUUCGUGAAAACUCACAGCUCAACUGUGGGCGUGCGGGCGAUACGGGCAGACUGGAGUACUGCAGGGGAGACUGGAAUUCCUGGUGUAGCGGUGGAAUGCGCAGAUAUCAGGAGGAACACCGGUGGCGAAGGCGGGUCUCUGGGCAGUAACUGACGCUGAGGAGCGAAAGCGUGGGGAGCGAACAGG